rnacentral:rRNA from 2 species
UGGGGAAUAUUGGACAAUGGGGGAAACCCUGAUCCAGCAAUGCCGCGUGAGUGAUGAAGGCCUUAGGGUUGUAAAGCUCUUUUACCAGGGAUGAUAAUGACAGUACCUGGAGAAUAAGCUCCGGCUAACUCCGUGCCAGCAGCCGCGGUAAUACGGAGGGAGCUAGCGUUGUUCGGAAUUACUGGGCGUAAAGCGCGCGUAGGCGGCUAUUUAAGUCAGAGGUGAAAUCCCGGGGCUCAACCCCGGAACUGCCUUUGAAACUAGAUGGCUAGAAUCCUGGAGAGGCGAGUGGAAUUCCGAGUGUAGAGGUGAAAUUCGUAGAUAUUCGGAAGAACACCAGUGGCGAAGGCGACUCGCUGGACAGGUAUUGACGCUGAGGUGCGAAAGCGUGGGGAGCAAACA